GGGCAGGCCCUACCCACACCCCUAUCUUACAAACACAGAAGCGGAGGCUUACACUCCUUGACGACCAGCUGAGCAGCACUGCUGGACCGCGAGCCCCGGCGGACGGCCCGUGCCGCGGCAGGGGCAGUGGCGGCAGAAGUAGUUAGUGGUCGUGACAAGGGCAACGGUAACAGUAACAAGAGGAGACACCUGCAACGUGCUUGCCUCGUGCCACGCACUGUUCUAAGGGCUGAAAAGAAGAAUAUACUGCUGGAAGUCAAAAUCAAAGGCAAACCAGUGAGCAAAUCAAACAUGGAGAUAACAAAAAAAAAAAAAUCACAAUUGCAAAGUGCAUACAGUUUGGAAGGUAUGUCUCUAAAAAAAUUUAGAGACAAGGUCAGAAAAGUGUUAAUCUCUGAAAAGGAAAAUAAGACACAACAUAAAAUAGACAUUAUGAAUCAG